GCUGAAGAACGUAGCGAAAUGCGAUAAGUAGUGUGAAUUGCAGAAUUCAGUGAAUCAUCGAAUCUUUGAACGCACAUUGCGCCCCUUGGUAUUCCAUGGGGCAUGCCUGUUCGAGCGUCAUUUGUACCUUCAAGCUUUGCUUGGUGUUGGGUGUUUGUCCUGAGGGACUCGCCUUAAAGUAAUUGGCAGCCAGUGUUUGGUUUUGAAGCGCAGCACAAGUCGCGAUUCAAAGCUAUACGCCCGCUUCCACAAGCCUUUUUCACUUUUGACCUCGGAUCAGGUAGGGAUACCCGCUGAACUUAAGCAUAUCAAUAAGCGGAGGA
rnacentral:misc_RNA from 1 species